rnacentral:rRNA from 1 species
GACGAACGCUGGCGGCGUGCUUAACACAUGCCAGUCGAACGGAAAGGCCCUGCUUUUGUGGGGUGCUCGAGUGGCGAAAGGGUGAGUAACACGUGAGUAACCUGCCCUUGACUUUGGGAUAACUUCAGGAAACUGGGGCUAAUACCGGAUAGGAGCUCCUGCUGCAUGGUGGGGGUUGGAAAGUUUCGGCGGUUGGGGAUGGACUCGCGGCUUAUCAGCUUGUUGGUGGGGUAGUGGCUUACCAAGGCUUUGACGGGUAGCCGGCCUGAGAGGGUGACCGGCCACAUUGGGACUGAGGUACGGCCCAGACUCCUACGGGAGGCAGCAGUGGGGAAUAUUGCACAAUGGGCGGAAGCCUGAUGCAGCAACGCCGCGUGCGGGAUGACGGCCUUCGGGUUGUAAACCGCUUUCGCCUGUGACGAAGCGUGAGUGACGGUAAUGGGUAAAGAAGCACCGGCUAACUACGUG